CUCGAGCGACGGGUAUCAUCUUUAUUCCCACUCUCACUAGUCCGAAGGGCCCGUCCGUGGCAGCACCCCCCCCCCACAAAUAAACGCGCGCGUAUGACCCCUCCUCCUCCGUCGUUCCUUUCUCACACACACCUCUUCCUUGGGACACAUACGGGCGCGUAGAGCGAGAGCGAGAGCGAGAGAGACCGGGCCCAAGUACUGUCUUUCCCGUCCUCAUUUUGUUGGGUUAGUUGUCUGUCCGUGCGGAGUGCCCAAGCCCCCCUCCCCUACUAGACCAUCGUUAGAUAGUGGGGGAGGAGGCUCAUAGAGACAGGCAGACAGACAGACACGCGCACUGUCGCAAAUGUACAAGCACAGACUCAUUUUGCGAUCUUUCUUAUCACCACCACGACAACCCCGCCCCCCGCCCCCCGCCCACCUCAACUCUCUGAUGCGACCGGCGUCUGCCUUUGCACUGCCAUGGACAUUGAUAUGUUUCUGCUCUUCGAGACCGUGACGGCCGGCAUCUUCGGCGUCGUGCUCGUCACGAUCAUCGGGAUGAGCAUCUUAGCCUGCGUGCAGCGCGGGCAGCGGAUGAAAGAGCGAAGGCAGCAGUGCGAGGACUUAGCAGCCAGUACUAGAGAAAAGCAGCAGCAUCUCCAGUGGCUCGCUGGGAUCAACAACCUCAGUGAUAAUCCAGAUCUCUUUGACGAUGGUGCCUCCAACAGCUCCUGGUCUUCCCGCAAAUCACGAUGGUGAGCCCUCCUCACCUUCCUUUGCCUCCUCACUUCCUGUACGGUCUCCUCCCUAUAAUAGUGAUAGCCUUUGUUGUCUUGCCACAGUAGAUGUGCGCUGCUGAUCUGUGUGUGUGUGUGUGUGUGUGUGUCCUUGUCUGCACGCUUUCGUCGUGGGCAUUUUUUGUUAGCCAGAUGGAGAGGAGGGGAGAGGGGGCUGGGACACACAUCCCUACGCACACAUGCACGCCAACUCACUCAGAAUCGCCAGAUGAGGUAGACACGCACACACAUACAUGCACACACUUCCUCCCUACUGUCCCUACCACCACUAUCGGCUUCGUUAUCUGUAAUCCACCAUCCUCAUCACUCAGCGCCACUGUGGACUCAACAUCUCCGCUUGGCAGCCGCCUCUUUUUCUCUCUCCUUCACUCCUCCCUCUCACUCACGUGUUCGUGCCAAGCCCACCCAGAGACACCCCGACACACAUGCGCUUGCACUCUUGUUGCUGUCAUUGUCGUAUCGCGCUCUAUCCCCCUCUCUCUCUGUCUACGCCUCGCUUCUUAUUGAGGGUUGGUGCUUUCCCCUUCCUUGCCGGCCUCUGUGUGUGUGUGUGUGUGUUCGUGUCGUAGCACUCUCAUCUCUCUCCUCUGUCCCUCGUCUCCGCGUCAAUCGCCGCGUUCUUC
rnacentral:misc_RNA from 1 species